AUUCCGACAAGAAUCCUUUAGAGAUUCCGACGGUAAUCUUUCAAGGAUUCCGGCGCGAAUCCUUCAGAAAUUCUGACGUGAAUCCUUCAGAGAUUCCGAUAAGAAUCGUUCAGGGAUUCCAACGGAAAUCCUCUAUGGAUUUCGACGGGAAUUCUUUUGGGAUUUCGACGUGAAUCUUUUUGACAUUACGACGUGAAUCCUUUAGGAAUUCCGACGGGAAUCCUUCACAGAUUCCGACGGAAAUCCUUUAGAGAUUCCGACGUGAAUCCUUCAAGGAUUCUGAUGGGAAUCAUUCAGGGAUUCCGACGGGAAUCCUUCAGAGAUUUCGACGGGACUCCUUUUGGGAUUCCGACGAAAAUCCUUCACAGAUUCCGACAAGAAUCCUUCAGGGAUUUCGACGGGAAUUCUUUUGGGAUUCCGACAUGAAUCCUGUUGGGAUUCCGACAUGAAUCCUUCAGGGAUUCCGACGGGAAUCCUUCAGGGAUUCCGACGGGAAUCCUUCAGGGAUUCUGACGGGAGUCCUUCAGGGAUUCCGACGGGAAUCCUGAGAUUCCGACAAGAAUCCUUCAGUGAUUCCGACGGGAAUCCUUCAGUGAUUCCGACGUGAAUCCUGUUGAGACUCCGACGUGAAUCCUUCAGAGAUUACGACUGAAAUUCUUCAGAGAUUCGGACGAGAAUCCUUCAGAGAUUCCGAUGGGAAUGCGAAUCCUUCAGAGAUUCCGACGGGAAUCCUUCAGAGAUUCCGACGGGAAUCCUUCAGGAAUUCCAACGAGAGUCCAUUAAGGAAUCCUUGAAAGAUUACGACUCAGAUUCUUCAGAGAUUCGGACGAGAAUCCUUCAGAGAUUCCGACGGGAAUGCUUUGGGGAUUCCGAAGGAAAUUCUUCGGAGAUUCAGACGGGAAUGCUUCAGGGAUUCAGACGGAAAUCCUUCAGGGAUUUUGCCCGGAAUUCUUUAUGGACGGGAAUCCUUUUGGGAUUCCGACGUGAAUCCUUUAGGGAUUCUGAUGUGAAUUCUCUAGGGAUUCCGACCGGAAUUCUUGAGGGAUUUUUUCAUAGAUUCCGACGAGAACCCUUCAUAAAUUCCGAUGGGAAUGCUUCGGCGAUUCAAGGCCCAAACUGUUAGAGAUUCUUAUUCUGGGGGACUCUUCUUUUUGUCUCACCCUAUAAUCAGGGUCGUUAAAAUUGCUCUAGGGAGAAAUUGGAUGGAAAAGCUUCCCUUUGUCAAAUAAAACCGAGAAUAGCAGAACAACGAAUGUAAUUGCGAAUGGUAGAAAGGAGUGAUGGUGUGCAAGAAACGUUCACGCUAGAUGUAAUUUAAUUUACAUACACACCAGUAUAGCAUGUCUCAAUACGACAGUUUACAAACACGUACCAGACUUCUCGGAAGCCUACACACUUAAAAUAAAUCGCCGAAUUCGGUAAAAUUUUACCGAAAUCUCAACAGCAGAACUGUUCGGUAAAUAAUUUAACUGAUUUUCGGUGAUUUUGACAGUUGAGCAAUGGAAAAAAUUACAAAAAAUCUGUAAAAUAAAUUACCGAACAGUUCUGCUGUUGAGAUUUCGGUAAAAUUUACCGAAUACGGUGAAAUGAGUUAAGUGUGUACAGGGCCUUGUGGAGAACAAUGCCGCGCAUAACCAAUUGAAAUAAUGGUGUUGGUAAAUGGUCAGUCUUCUGCGAAGUUACUGUUUGGACCAGAGUGUCGAGAACAUCAACGGAAUGAUGAAAACCCUUGCACUACUGGCUCUGCGCCACGAAUUGACACACGCUCUCGAAUUGACAAACGCCUAACAGAUCUAUCAAGACGUGACCGAGAAUCAUCCUAUAUAGAUCUACUUGGCAAUUCUCAUCAGCACAUGGCGCCAUUCAGUGUGGCAAACAUGUCACAAAAAGUUAGAAAAAAUUCGAUUACUGUUUAAUGACCACCGAUCUUGCCACCGAUACAUAGAGGUUGUCCUAUGUCUACAGCUGAUUAUGCUACUGUCCCUCGAUUGUCCCGAUAGUUUGACACGUUACAAAUCCUUCAAAUCCUAAGAUUAGUUUGACAAUAGCAGACAAAUACUUCGCACGUUGACCAAAAACUGAUUGCUGGAGUUCGAAAAUGCAGUUGCAAAGCUGAUCAAAUGUCUCUUCACCCCGCCGGUCUCUGGUUAUAGGGUUGCCGCCGGUCUCUGGUUAUAGUUUCACCCAGCGAGAAAAUCAAAAAUACUUCAAGAAACCUAAAUCGAUAGCAAAAUGGCAACGCUAGAGAAGUCCAAAAUAAAAUGCUAGCAUUGAAUGAAGCUUAAACGCAAACUAAAACCAUUAGUUCUGCCAUACAGUCGAUGUCCACGAUGAAGAGGAUUCGGUGAACCCGUGGUCGGUACCUAUUUUCGACGAUUUGAAAUUGAACGUGCGAACUUACCCAGGAAGCGCUGCAGUUCUUCAGCAAUCCACUGAGUUCAGCUCCAAUCUAAAGGAUUCUAUUAAGCAGUUGUACUCCUAGUGCGACCCAUCCACACAAUGCUCGUAACCCGAAUUAAAUCUAAAAUCUACGAGACUAAGCCUACACCCACUGCUCAGCUGUCUUCCGCCCAAUGCGCCCGUAAUACUGAAUCCUACGUUUGACCCGACUCAACUAGCCCAUUUAUAUCUGCAUUAUGUUCACAUUCCUCCGAAAAGUCAUCACCGACAAGCGGUUCUUAACGGACGCUCGUAGCAUGAUGGUAAAGUUGGCUGCCACCCAACUAAGCAUUACAACAAGGCACGAUCAUUUGUUUGUAUGCUGUUACACGACCUGCGAUAGGACCCGGUAGGACGGGAGAAGGAAACGAAUUUCUUAAAAUGCUGAAACUGGACAUGAUCCGGGUGAACAUGAACGGAUCAUUCGUUCAGGAGAAGAAGUGGAUGAUUGUGGACAGCGAUGGGGAAGACAUCCUUCGAUUGUGGAAGAUCGGUACGUGGCAGUACUUGACAGGGUUUGCUUGCGAUAAACUACCAGACUAAAAAAACUAAAUAAAUGCU